AACGAACGCUGGCGGCAUGCCUAACACAUGCAAGUCGAACGAGACCUUCGGGUCUAGUGGCGCACGGGUGCGUAACGCGUGGGAAUCUGCCCCUCGGUUCGGAACAACAGUUAGAAAUGACUGCUAAUACCGGAUAAUGACGAAAGUCCAAAGAUUUAUCGCCGAGGGAUGAGCCCGCGUAGGAUUAGCUUGUUGGUGGGGUAAUGGCCCACCAAGGCGACGAUCCUUAGCUGGUCUGAGAGGAUGAUCAGCCACACUGGGACUGAGACACGGCCCAGACUCCUACGGGAGGCAGCAGUGGGGAAUAUUGGACAAUGGGCGAAAGCCUGAUCCAGCAAUGCCGCGUGAGUGAUGAAGGCCUUAGAGUUGUAAAGCUCUUUUACCAGGGAUGAUAAUGACAGUACCUGGAGAAUAAGCUCCGGCUAACCCCGUGCCAGCAGCCGCGGUAAU
rnacentral:rRNA from 1 species